rnacentral:rRNA from 1 species
AGGGGGGACGAACAGUUGGAAACGACUGCUAAUACCGCAUACGAUCUAAUCUCGGCAUCGAGGAUAGAUGAAAGGUGGCCUCUACAUGUAAGCUAUCACUGAAGGAGGGGAUUGCGUCUGAUUAGCUAGUUGGAGGGGUAACGGGCCCACCAAGGCGAUGAUCAGUAGCCGGUCUGAGAGGAUGAACGGCCACAUUGGGACUGAGACACGGCCCAAACUCCUACGGGAGGCAGCAUG